rnacentral:rRNA from 1 species
UACGUAGGGGGCAAGCGUUGUCCGGAUUUAUUGGGCGUAAAGAGCGUGUAGGCGGUUUGGUAGGUCCGUUGUGAAAACUCGAGGCUCAACCUCGAGACGCCGGCGGAAACCAUCAGGCUAGAGUCCGGAAGAGGAGAGUGGAAUUCCCGGUGUAGCGGUGAAAUGCGCAGAUAUCGGGAAGAACACCCGUGGCUAAGGCGGCUCUCUAGUACGGUACUGACGCUGAGACGCGAAAGCGUGGGGAGCGAACAGG